UCCCCUAAUUUGAAUUUUCAAUUUGAUGAGUCUAGAUGUUGUCUUUUCAAUUCACAUGUUUGACUUAUUCGCAAAAUGGAAAAUGUCUGAUUCAACCUCAUUAAAAGUCCUCUUUGCCUAAUUUUUGGGGCUAUUUGUCUGCCCUUUAGUUUACGUUUGGUGCACACGAGGCAAAAUAACAAUUUAAUUUCUGUGCACUGACAAUAUAAUAAAUUAUUUAUAUUAGUAAUAUAACUUAAUUUGUCAUAACAGGUUAUUUACUAUUUGUUUUAGGUACUAAUUAACAGUAUUAAAUAGAGUUAAUUACACUGUAUGUUAAUUGAGGCUCAAUUACAACCAAAUUGGGCUCAUAUUUGAAGUUCUUACCCGCAAUAGCUCAUAUUCAGUGUAAACUUAAUUUACUGUACACUCUGUUAACCCAUUACACUUAAAAGAACGGGAAAAAAUCAUAGAAAAAGGAAGGGACCCCAAUUCCGUUACUUUCUCUUCUUUGUUCCUACUUCUUCUUCACGAUUUCAACUUCAAGCUCAGUAUGAAGGUCAAAAUGUCUGCAUCUAGAAGUUGUUCGAAGAUUGUCGGUAGAGGAAUUAAAUACAAUGCUGACACAUCAAGCAAUUUGCCUUCGACUCCUGGUGUUGCAAAUGAUGACGAUUUCGAGUCCCCUGUUGUUCUUACAAAGAGUUGUCAACAAGAAACAAAGCAAAUCACCUGCUCACAAACGAAGAAGGUUAAGAAUAUCAAGCCGCGGACUAAGAAAUGUGGUCGACCUGAGAAAGCUAAAGUGAGGUUGAACUUUGUUGAUGAAGAUGAUGCUGCCAAAAAGAAAGAAAAAAAGAGAAAGUUCGUCAAUGUUGCUGAAUGUAGUUCUUAUGCAUUAUCGAAAGAACAAAGGGAAUCUAUUCGAUGUAAAUUUAUGAAAGAAAAUCUCAGUUGAAGGUUGGUAACUUCUAUAUACAACCGAAUGAACAUUUUCGGACUAGGAUUAGUUGUGAUACCAAGACUGAUAUUGUCGGCUUUUUGAGGGAAUACUUAAGUGAUACGCAGCUUCAAAUCUUCCGUGAUAGUUAUUUUGGAUAUUUCUUAGACCUGCCUCCUUUUAAGAUUCAGAACCAGCUUAUAUAUUGCAUGUUAUUGAGGGAGGUUGUCCCCGGUGUGUUAAGAGAGUUGUGGAUUAAACUCAACGGUUGUAUAUUGAGUUUUGGUAUUGGAGAGUUUGCUGUUAUUACUGGUUUGAAGUGUGUUGAAGAUGAUGCAACUAUGUAUGACAAACCAAGCACCAGUAAGUUGAUGGAAACGUAUUUUCCAGAAAACACAUCAAUAACGAGGGAGCAGUUGCUCACUCGCUUUAAGGAAAAGGAAUGGAAGUCAGAUGAUGAUGCGUUCAAGAUGAGUUUGAUGGUAAUCAUCCACCAUUUCUUAUUCUCGAAUACCAAUGAUCACUCUAUCUCCAAAGCAGAUUUUGAUAUCAUUGAAAGUGGUGAAUAUCAGACUUAUGCUUGGGGGAAAAAAUGCUUUGAAGAGAUUCUCAAAACAACAAGGGAUAAACAGUGUGAGUUUUUGAUAAUGUGUAUGGCUUGGAGGGUUCCCGCUUGCACUACAGACUUGGUUUUUCGAAUGUUGCUCUCCAGUCGAUAAAAAACUCGCUGUUCGUAUUGGCAAUAAUGUGCCACGUAUUCUUAACUGGAAAGUGAAUGAUUCUCCGACGUAUACGUUCUUGACUGAGGAUGUGCUCAUGCCUAGUAUUGAUAAAAUAAAGUACUGCAACAUUUCUCCUACCACUGAGGAAAAAAUAAACUUGAAAAUUGCUGCAUUCUUUGAAGAUAUCAAUGCCGACCAUGUUUCUUCACGGGGUUUGCCUGUUUUUCAUAAUGAAGACUCUAACGUUUCACCCCUACCACAUCCUCAGAAUAUGGAGCAGCCUAAGCAACCUCAUCCUCAAAAUAAGGAGCAACAACCCGUAUUGAGACGCGAUCCUUUUGGGAGCAGUAAUGGGUUGACGGCUGAAGUUGCUCAGUUGAGAAAUGACGUUUCAGAGGCACUGCAUCUUUGAUAUCUUUGUAGGUUGUCAGUUGUUUUUUUUUUGGUAUACAAAUGCUUGUUAAUUUAAUUUAUGUUGUUUUCCUUUUCCUAGCUUACUGGUAAAGUUGAGGCGCUCAACAUUACAUCGUAUCUUCCUUUGGAAUCAUAUUCAAGCAUCUGAAAAUUAAGCAACCUAGUGAUCAAGGCAAUGCUGAUGAGAACGGUACAUCUGAUCAAGGCAAUGAUGGGUUUCACAAUAAUGAGUAUGUUCCACCUCCUUCCCCCCUCUCCCCUCCAGAACAAGCGCAUGAUCCAAAUAUGCAAGGUGACCAAACAACAUCAAGUGUCAAGGAAAAUAAAGAGGGUACUGAUGUUCCCCCCUCCCCCCCCCCCCCCCCCCCCCCCGGAGCACGUGGAUGACCUAAACUUGUGAUCUGACUAAAAUGCAUCAUGUGUCAAGGGAAAUCAGCAAAUUACUGAUGGUCUUCUUGUUGUAGCAAGUGAUGGUGUUGAGCCCCCCCGAGCAAGUGCAUAAAGUAAACAUGCAACCUGACCAAACAAAAUCAAGUGUCAAGGAAAAUGAGGAAGUUACUGAUGGUCAUCUUGUGGAAGCAGUUGAGGACGAUCCCUGGUGUGGUAUUACUUGAGCAAGUGCAUAAUCAGCAAAUUACUGAUGGUCUUCCUGCAAGUGAUGGUGUUGAGCCCCCCGAGCAAGUGCAUGAAGUAAAUAUGCAACGUGACAAAACAAAAUCAAGUGUCAAGGAAAAUGAGGAAGUUACUAAUGGUCAUCUUGUGGAAGCAGUUGAUGGUGUCAAGGACGAUCCCUGGUGUGGUAUUACUGAUGAAGACUUUGCCAAUAUAAAGAUGUCCUAGGUUGUGCUCCCUAGACCUUGGGAUAUUAGUGAUGAAGAGGUUGCUAAGAUAAAGAUGUCCCGGAUUGGGCUUCCUAGACCACUCAUCAUUGAAAAAAAGACGUGACUCUUGAAAAAUUGGCACGAAAGAAAUUUCUAGGAAAAUUAGCCCAAGAUCCAUAUGUGGGAGAUUUUGAUGAUUCGAGUACAUCCAAGUGUAUUUUUGAUAUCAAACAUCCUUUCAUGAGCGACAUUGAUGAAUUUUAUCCUUUGUCGGAUUUGGCCCAAGAGUUUGUGGAAUUCGUUAAGGAUGGGAUGAAUAUGACACGACGCCCCAAAACUCUGUAUCGUGACGGAAAAAAUGAUCUCCUCGAAGAUUUUGUUUUUGGCUCGUGUCAUAUAAACAAGAAGAACUGGUUCGAGGCGCUUGCACAUAGUGGUCGACCUUUAAAAGACACGCAUUUGGAUGUCAUAUUUUACUAUCUGAGGAAAAAGGCAAAAUAUGGACCUAAUCUUGCCGUAAAGUUUACUACAACUAGCUUUUAUUUCAACAAGAAGCUUUAUUUGCUUUAUAUGGAGUUUGAGAAAAAAGGUCAAGAUUUUUCUGUGAUCCCAAAGGAGCAUGAAGUAGAAGAGUACAUUAGAGGUUGUUGCUGUGAUGCAAAUGUAGCUUGGCACAAAGUUGAUCAUGUGUUAUUCCCGAUUUAUGUCGAUCUGGGAAAAUCUAAAUUGGGACAUUAGGUUUUGAGUGUCUUUACCUUCAGUGAUUGGUGUAUCCAUGUGUACGAUUCCCAACGUGAUUCAAAAAAUGAUAAACUUGUUAUGAAAACUCUGUUACCUUACAAAACAUUGCUACCAUACUUCCUAGAAAAGUCCAAAUUCAAUGUUAAGAGGGGCAUUGACAAAACUCAAAGUGAUGCUUUGCUGAUAAAUCUGGUUGAUAACCUACCACAACAAAUCAAUAGUGAUUGUGGAGUUUUUGUUGUUGUCCUUGCUGAUUAUUUCAUGCAUGGUAAAGAAAUCAAAAAAGACAAUGUUGACAUUGAGUUACAUCGCACCAGGUAUGGAUCACUGUUGUGGCAUUAUGGAAGAAAAAAACAAAAGGCCGAUGCAACUAGCGGGACUAAAGAAGUUACUGGCAGAUGGUUCAGAAGGAAAAAGAGAAAAUGUGAGGAAAAGUAGUGGCUGCAUAUAAUUGCUUUUUGAAUUUUACUUAGAUGUUUUGAAGCGGUAAUGUAAAGUACAAAUAAUGUGAUUUUUAGAAGGGAAUUUGACUAAGCUGUUUUGAUGCAAUACUGUAAAGUACAAUGAUGUUUGCUAAUCAAUGAAAUGCACUUUUAUUGUGUA